rnacentral:rRNA from 1 species
GCUAAUACAUGCAAGUCGAACGAACUUCCGUUAAUUGAUUAUGACGUACUUGUACUGAUUGAGAUUUUAACACGAAGUGAGUGGCGAACGGGUGAGUAACACGUGGGUAACCUGCCCAGAAGUAGGGGAUAACACCUGGAAACAGAUGCUAAUACCGUAUAACAGAGAAAACCGCAUGGUUUUCUUUUAAAAGAUGGCUCUGCUAUCACUUCUGGAUGGACCCGCGGCGUAUUAGCUAGUUGGUGAGGUAAAGGCUCACCAAGGCAGUGAUACGUAGCCGACCUGAGAGGGUAAUCGGCCACAUUGGGACUGAGACACGGCCCAGACUCCUACGGGAGGCAGCAGUAGGGAAUCUUCCACAAUGGACGCAAGUCUGAUGGAGCAACGCCGCGUGAGUGAAGAAGGGUUUCGGCUCGUAAAGCUCUGUUGUUAAAGAAGAACGUGGGUAAGAGUAACUGUUUACCCAGUGACGGUAUUUAACCAGAAAGCCACGGCUAACUACGUGCCAGCAGCCGCGGUAAUACGUAGGUGGCAAGCGUUAUCCGGAUUUAUUGGGCGUAAAGCGAGCGCAGGCGGUCUUUUAAGUCUAAUGUGAAAGCCUUCGGCUCAACCGAAGAAGUGCAUUGGAAACUGGGAGACUUGAGUGCAGAAGAGGACAGUGGAACUCCAUGUGUAGCGGUGAAAUGCGUAGAUAUAUGGAAGAACACCAGUGGCGAAGGCGGCUGUCUGGUCUGCAACUGACGCUGAGGCUCGAAAGCAUGGGUAGCGAACAGGAUUAGAUACCCUGGUAGUCCAUGCCGUAAACGAUGAUUACUAAGUGUUGGAGGGUUUCCGCCCUUCAGUGCUGCAGCUAACGCAUUAAGUAAUCCGCCUGGGGAGUACGACCGCAAGGUUGAAACUCAAAAGAAUUGACGGGGGCCCGCACAAGCGGUGGAGCAUGUGGUUUAAUUAGAAGCUACGCGAAGAACCUUACCAGGUCUUGACAUCUUCUGACAGUCUAAGAGAUUAGAGGUUCCCUUCGGGGACAGAAUGACAGGUGGUGCAUGGUUGUCGUCAGCUCGUGUCGUGAGAUGUUGGGUUAAGUCCCGCAACGAGCGCAACCCUUAUUACUAGUUGCCAGCAUUAAGUUGGGCACUCUAGUGAGACUGCCGGUGACAAACCGGAGGAAGGUGGGGACGACGUCAAAUCAUCAUGCCCCUUAUGACCUGGGCUACACACGUGCUACAAUGGAUGGUACAACGAGUCGCGAGACCGCGAGGUUAAGCUAAUCUCUUAAAACCAUUCUCAGUUCGGACUGUAGGCUGCAACUCGCCUACACGAAGUCGGAAUCGCUAGUAAUCGCGGAUCAGCAUGCCGCGGUGAAUACGUUCCCGGGCCUUGUACACACCGCCCGUCACACCAUGAGAGUUUGUAACACCCAAAGCCGGUGGGGG